rnacentral:tRNA from 1 species
GCCCCAGUAGCUCAGGGGAUAGAGCGCGGGCCUCCGGAGCCCGGUGCACAGGUUCGAUUCCUGUCUGGGGCGCCA